rnacentral:rRNA from 1 species
CAAGAAUCCAUAAGAAUAAAACUUUCAACAACGGAUCUCUUGGUUCUCGCAUCGAUGAAGAGCGCAGAAAAUGCGAAAACCUAGUGUGAAUUUGCAGCCAUCGGGGAACCUCCGAGUCCUGGACGGACAUUGGGGCCCCUGGGAUUCCGGGGGGCAUGGCUGGUUUGGCCGCCGUUCCAUCUUCCGCAGGGGAGCUGGCCCCGGCUUUGCCCCCGCCAAAAAGAAACGAGGGCGAAGGAACUAAUGUUGUGGGCGGCCCCAGCUAUCCAGCUCGACCUCAAAUCAGGUAGGAUACCGCUGAACUUAAGCAUAUCAUAAACGAGAAUG